GUGCAAGAUUCAAAUGCAUAACAUAAUAUUGUAUACCAUAUGUCCCAAGAUUAUUCUGAGACAUAAAUAUAAUUUAAUUGCUAAUAUGCAACUCUAAAAUGUGAAAAUUUGUCUAACAGCUGAAAACUAACUCUCCAUAGAAAAUAAUCAUAACACCGUGCAUUAAUUAAUAAACCAAUGUAAAUUUACCAACUGACCAUACUGUAACUCCGUAUUAUUUACGUCGUGAGUACAGCUGUCAGUCUGCACUACAAAGUUGAGUGUUUUGCAGGUUCACAAAAGACAAGAAAACCCCAAUUUUCCAUCAGUCUACAUCGCGCCCGAAAAUUAUAAUGUAAAUAUUCAGCGAUAACCCAGCACCCACUAACAUGUCACUCAACUAAUACGCGUUAAAUGUUCAGAUGUCUUCAAAUCGGCGUGAGGAGGCCAACAUGAAUCCGAUGCUCAUCAAGGUGGCGAUCGGCGUGGGAGUCGCCGUCGUGAGCGGCAUCGCCGCAAUGUUCUUCUACAACCGCCAGCAGGAGCGCGAGGAGCCAUACCGAACCGACUACACGCAGGACUCGCGCACAUGCAGCAUUUGCCUGGACACGCUCGUCAACAAACAAGUGCGCAUCCUCAACUGCGGACAUAUUUAUCAUGAGCACUGCAUCAGCAGUUGGGCGCACCAGAAAAACUUCUGCCCGCUGUGCCGCAGAACUUUAUAGACAAAGUCAACAGAAUCAAGAAAGAAUAAAAAAAAACAGUCAAAGCUUAUGUUGAUAAUAAACGUUAAAAUCACACAUGUUAGGGAGAUGAUAUUGAAGCGCUUUUUCCUUUAACUUGUACUCUAUGAUUGUUAAAAUAAUCUAUUUUCUAUUAUAAUGACAUAAUUGAAUUAAUUUUAGUAAUAAAUAUAUGCAAAAAAUGUAAUAAAGCUGAAUUUUGCCUGUU